GAUGAACGCUAGCGGCAGGCCUAAUACAUGCAAGUCGAACGGUGUCUUCGGACAUAGUGGCGCACGGGUGCGUAACACGUAUGCAACCUACCUUACAUUGGGGGAUAGCCUUUCGAAAGGGAGAUUAAUACCGCAUAAGACAGUAACUUGGCAUCAAGUAGCUGUUAAAGAUUUAUCGAUGUAAGCUGGGCAUGCGUCCAAUUAGCUAGUUGGUGAGGUAAUGGCUCACCAAGGCUAUGAUUGGUAGGGGAACUGAGAGGUCAAUCCCCCACACUGGCACUGAGAUACGGGCCAGACUCCUACGGGAGGCAGCAGUGGGGAAUAUUGGGCAAUGGAGGAAACUCUGACCCAGCGACGCCGCGUGCGGGAUGAAGGCCUUCGGGUUGUAAACCGCUUUCAGUAGGGAAGAAGCGAAAGUGACGGUACCUACAG
rnacentral:rRNA from 1 species